GUGACAAAUUUACUUUAGCCCGCAUCUUCACAUUACAUUUUGGGGAUGAUAAAACCGCCGCUCUAACCCUAACUCUCAUCAGUUUUAAUUUCAUCCCUCUCCUCACCUAAUUCUCUAAAAACACUAAGACAUUCAUGGAAAUAUGAUUUAGAUCUGUAUUGUCAGCGUGGUUCUUAUCAAUUAGGAAGCGGAAUUUCUUUGCUCUAUGUGCUGUUAGUAAUUAUUCAAAGGAACUCUAUCUUUUUUUAAUUUCCUUUUAAAAUUGAGUAUUUUAGGUCGUUUUUAGGGUUUUAAUUUUGAGAAAUGCCAUGAUUUUAUAAUAAUAGAGGGUUAACUCAUGAAGAAUAGAGAUUUGAGGGUUUGUUUAUGCUUCUCUUUGAGCUACAGAAUCGGCAAAUUGGGAUGUACUGUUUACGAUGAUGAGAGAGAGAUACAACUUUGAUUUAGAGGUCGAUGAAUAACCCAGGAUGUUAUGAUUGUUUUAUAUGUCCAAGUCUACUUCUUAAUCAAGUCGUUCCAUGAAAACGUUUAAGUAGCUCCAAACUCAAUAGAGAGAAGUUGCAUGUUUUUUGAAAUAGGUGUAGAAUUGCAACUACACAUUUUCACUCAACGUUAGCAGUUUAAGAGAAUGUGUUGUAAAUGAAUAUUAGCUACUAUUCUUUUAUCAAUCUUAUUGCUAGCUAGCAUGAUUAAUAAUGUUAGAAAAAGAAAAUAAUUGUUUUUU